GUACGAACGGGAAUCACCGAACAGGCCCUAAUAAAAUAGAACGGAUACACAACCCAAACAAACCAUGCAAUCGGCAAACGCCUAGGCUUCAACCGGAUCAUGGGACCUAGAAAAAGAAAAAGAAUCCGGAUAAAGUUUGCUAGGUGUUGUAUGCCGGCAAUCGUGCUUAGGCCAGCCUGAUUCAGCUGGCUUGGCCUAAUGAAUGAAUGCACAGGCAGUGCAUAUCCUCUGUGAUUCGAUGGGGUGUGGUUUGAUCAGCGCAGGGAAAAUGGGCUUGUUUUACAUUUCAAGUUGUCUGCCAAAUAUAUCAUAGUCGCAGAAGUACUCUCUUAUAAUGGUGAUGGAAACAUGG
rnacentral:sRNA from 1 species